rnacentral:sRNA from 1 species
CGGCAUGACAGACUCGGCGACAGCUAACGGGGACGACAGGGACCCCGAGAUCGAGCUCUUCGUGAAGGAGGAAGGAUGGAGGCGAGGCUGCGGCGGCGUUUCCAGGUCCGCCGGUGUAAGGAGAAAGAAACAUUUGAUCAGCCCUUGGUGCCGACGCUGCAGAAGUAGGGAAACCUGAGGCUGCGGGAGAGUAGCCUCCAGGGCUGAGCAGAAACAGUCGCCAGGACUUGGGGGAGGGGAAGUCGGGGACUGCCUGGGCGCCAAGACCUUUCACAAAGGGAGAAAACUCUCCCAGUGCAAAGUUUCCCUAGAAAUAUGCAGAUCGCUGAGAAGGGAAGUCACUGGUGCCUGUCAGGGGCCUCCUGGCAGAAUUUAAAAGGCAUAAAUAUUCCCUGGAAUUGGGAAAAUGUUAUUUUGCCCAAAAGAUCCUUCUCUACAAGCUAAUUAAAUAGAUGUUUGCAAAAAGUAUGAGAUCUACAUAAACCUUGAUAACAAUC